rnacentral:rRNA from 1 species
GUUGAUAAGGUUAAGUGAAUAAGGGCGCACGGUGGAUGCCUUGGCACUAGGAGCCGAUGAAGGACGGGACUAACACCGAUAUGCUUUGGGGAGCUGUACGUAAGCUAUGAUCCAGAGAUUUCCGAAUGGGGGAACCCAGCAUCUUUGAUAGGAUGUUACGUUUGCGUGAAUACAUAGCGCAAUCGAGGUAGACGCAGAGAACUGAAACAUCUAAGUACCUGCAGGAAGAGAAAGAAAAUUCGAUUCCCUGAGUAGCGGCGAGCGAAACGGGAAAAGCCCAAACCAAUGAGCUUGCUCAUUGGGGUUGUAGGACUCCGAUCUGGUAGUUCUUUCAGAUAGUCGAAUGACUUGGAAAAGUCAGUCAAAGAGGGUAAAAACCCCGUAGACGAAAUUUGGAAGGCACCUAGGAGGAUCCUGAGUACGGCGGAACACGAGGAAUUCCGUCGGAAUCCGGGAGGACCAUCUCCCAAGGCUAAAUACUCCCUAGUGACCGAUAGUGAACCAGUACCGUGAGGGAAAGGUGAAAAGCACCCCGGAAGGGGAGUGAAAUAGAACCUGAAACCGUGUGCCUACAACAAGUCAAAGCCCGUUAAUGGGUGAUGGCGUGCCUUUUGUAGAAUGAACCGGCGAGUUACGAUUGCAUGCGAGGUUAAGUUGAAGAGACGGAGCCGCAGCGAAAGCGAGUCUGAAUAGGGCGUUUGAGUAUGUAGUCGUAGACCCGAAACCAUGUGAUCUACCCAUGUCCAGGUUGAAGGUGCGGUAAAACGCACUGGAGGACCGAACCCACGUACGUUGAAAAGUGCGGGGAUGAGGUGUGGGUAGCGGAGAAAUUCCAAACGAACUUGGAGAUAGCUGGUUCUCUCCGAAAUAGCUUUAGGGCUAGCCUCGAAAUUGAGAAUGAUGGAGGUAGAGCACUGUUUGGACUAGGGGCCCAUCUCGGGUUACCGAAUUCAGAUAAACUCCGAAUGCCAUUCAUUCAUAUUCGGGAGUCAGACUGUGAGUGAUAAGAUCCAUAGUCGAAAGGGAAACAGCCCAGACCACCAGCUAAGGUCCCAAAAUAUAUGUUAAGUGGAAAAGGAUGUGGGGUUGCACAGACAACUAGGAUGUUGGCUUAGAAGCAGCCACCAUUUAAAGAGUGCGUAAUAGCUCACUAGUCGAGUGACCCUGCGCCGAAAAUGUACCGGGGCUAAACAUAUUACCGAAGCUGUGGAGUACACCAUUAGGUGUAUUGGUAGGAGAGCGUUCUAAGGGCGUUGAAGGCAGAUCGUGAGGACUGCUGGAGCGCUUAGAAGUGAGAAUGCCGGUAUGAGUAGCGAAAGACAGGUGAGAAUCCUGUCCACCGAAUGACUAAGGUUUCCUGGGGAAGGCUCGUCCGCCCAGGGUUAGUCGGGACCUAAGCCGAGGCCGACAGGCGUAGGCGAUGGACAACAGGUUGAUAUUCCUGUACUCGUUGUUUUUGUUUGAGCAAUGGAGGGACGCAGGAGGCUAAGGAAUGCAGACGAUUGGAAAUGUCUG